rnacentral:rRNA from 1 species
CCUACGGGGUGCAGCAGUGGGGAAUAUUGCACAAUGGGGGAAACCCUGAUGCAGCGACGCCGCGUGAGUGAAGAAGUAAUUCGUUAUGUAAAGCUCUAUCAGCAGGGAAGAAAAUGACGGUACCUGAGUAAGAAGCCACGGGUAACUACGUGCCAGCAGCCGCGGUAAGACGUAGGGGACAAGCGUUAUCCGGAUUUACUGGGUGUAAAGGGAGCGGAGAAGGCAGUGCAAUUCUGGAGUGAAAGGCGGGGGCUCAACCCCCGGACUGCUCUGGAAACUGUACGGCUGGAGUGCAGGAGAGGUAAGUGGAAUUCCUAGUGUAGCGGUGAAAUGCGUAGAUAUUAGGAGGAACACCAGUUGCGAAGGCGGCUUACUGGACUGUAACUGACGUUGAGGCUCGAAAGCGUGGGGAGCAAACAGGAUUAGAUACCCCAGUAGUC